rnacentral:misc_RNA from 1 species
CACCCCAUUUGUAAUAGUCGUAAUAACACACCAUCUCAAGUCCGUGUGCAUUUUAUGUGUUACGAGCAACAAGCUGAAAUUCCUGCAUAGCUGUAAUGUACUUAAUGACACCUAUUCUUCCAUCCACCUGUGUUGAUCUUAAAAGGAUUGACUCACGGGGAAGCGGACAAGCGGCCCGCACCAAUUCUUACGCCGACCGGAGUGUGCCUGAGUUGAAAUUGCUUUUGAGUCCCAGCACUUUCCGUCGCAAUGCCAACUAUCAACCGGAGAAUUGAUGAUGAAACUCGGAACCUUUUGCUCUCUUUCUCUCCCUGUCUCUCUCUAUUCGACACGGUCCAACAGCGAUGUAAGGAGUCCGCCUGCCGUAUCGGCGCCAUGUUUCACAACCCAUUAGAAAAAUCACAAGUGCUUUUGAAACCGAAUCCUCGCUUGAAGAAAAUUGAACAUGUUACCACUUUAUCUCAUUCCGCAAUUUAAAGCCAUGUUACUUAAUAUGGGUGCUGGUUAUCCUUAAAGAUUUGUUUCUUAUUGAAAUUAACGGUUUGUUUGACUUUUUAACGACGCGUUGGACGUUGACCCAUGACAUCACUAGAAAUCAAUUCGACAGUUUGAUUUGAGCCGCUCUGAAAUGAAGUUUACGGCAUUGCCACAUUUCCCGUGGAAUCUCUGCAGAGCAGACGAAAAUUUUUCUUUCGAUUUCAGUUUGAGUUUGACUCCGAGUCGGGAGAGGACAGACUACAUAUUCUGUGAGCUGAGAACUGAGAUCUUGAUAGUCAUUGUAUCGUUCAUUCUCCAAUGAUUUGGGUUCAAGGAUUUCAUGUGCAACUAUCCACCUGGAAAGAAUUCAGGGUAGCUUCCUCCCUCCCAAGUCCCAUCCAUCCAUGGAUGAAUCUGUUGGCUGUCAGCCAAAUUAUGUCAUCCAGCCCCCAGGUGGCGCGAGCGUCGUCGUGGGGAACGAAAAUCCCGCAUUGGUUUCCGACUUUCCGAGAUGCUGAGUGAUAAUGUUUUCCAAAUUCAUUACGUAUUUACGGUAAUCCGUAAACCCCACCGGUGGUCACUCAGACACUCACCCGUUGUGAUAACCAGGAGGAUGAGGAGGGCUCUGGUGCGGCUAUACAUGUACUUCCGCUGCGACACACACCUGUAGUCACUCACUACGGAAUUAUUGCCCAGGCCCUUCUUGCGAGUCGCUAACGAAGUGUUGCGAGUGCACGAGAGAAUUGAAAAAGCUGCUGCAAGUCACUUUCUCGUCUUAAAAGCCCAAUGAGACUUUGGAAUCUGGGGCUUAACAUCUGAAGUAAAAAUCAGAUUGAAUGAGAAAUCUAUUUAAUUGGUUUAUCCAUCAAGUUGGCCUAGUAAGCCGAAGUCCUGAUGGAUUUGGUCUUUGAAUUUUUUUUUAUUAAUGUUAGGUUUGCUGGCUUGGGUACUGAAGAGAACAUCUGGCGGCUAGAUUUGCCAGUUGUUGGGGCGUAGUGGAAGUAAGCUAGCCCCUUAAUUUAUCUUCUUCUAAGUUCUGAUCUUCUUGGUUUUCCCUUCCCUGUGUAGUUGAAAUGUGGGAUUUGAAAAUUAAAGCCGUCAUUAUUAAUUUCAAUUGCCCUAUUACCGUUCAGAAUAUGCACUUUAUGUACAUAUAUUAUAAUCUUAAUAAAAAGUUAUAUAUUAAAAAACCUGUAGAAUAAUCUUCAGUAAAAAAACCAUGUUUCAUAAAUACAGAGCAACAGUUGCAAAGCCAAUAUUUAUUUUGUGCAAGUAACAUAGGUUAGGUUGUUAUAUAUUAUUUACCUGUCCCAGAUUUAUCUUACUAGUAGCUUUUUUUCUCAUUGCAUGCCUAAAUGCUAGUCAAUUUGUUUAAACUCACACAUGCAGUCAAUCAAGAAAGGGAAGAAACUGCAUUGAUUGAUUGAUUGUGCCAAGGAGCUACCUGGACAAAGGAAUAAGAGAGAUGAGUGCGAAGCCAUUUUAGCUAGGGAACAAUUAGAAGUAGAAGGUUUCCAGGUUAGACUCAUGAUUCUCCAAAGUUUUCAUUAAAUCAUACACCUUCCAAGUCCUCGUUCGACCAGGGCCCUCAUCCUCAUCCCAGUGGGUGAGUGCUCACCGGUGAGCGUUGGUUAGUGCUGUCAGUUUCCAAAGAACUGUAACGGUGGUGAGAAUCUGGCCCUGAAAGGCGAGAAUAUUUAGAUAUAAAUUUCAAUAAAUAUAUAGCAACAGCAAGCAAUACCUCAAAUCUAUCAAUGUUACAUUGUCCUUGAUUAGAACUAAGUGGCAGUCACCACAACCUCUUGAGUGGCAGUAUUAUUUUGCUGAUUAUCUACAAAGGGAAGAGAUAGCAGCAAAGAAUUGGAUCUGGGGAAGGCAUCAAUAUCUUGAAGAUUUACCACAAUUUGACAGGGGAAGUUAACCUGAAAUAUUAUCAUAAAAAUUAAAUGAAAGUAGAAACUAUUUAGCUUUGGAAGACAUAACUUGCAUUAUUGGAUUGGAUAACUUGAUUUCUAUUAUCACAAGCAUCUAGGUCGCAAGAAAACUUCAGCUGAAAUUUAAGCUGACACAUUAAGUCAGAAAGCAACAAGAACAAUUAGUUGUAUGUUGUGUUAUCUAUUAAUUGAAAACGGUCCAACUUACCUAAAAAAUCCUAAUCUAAAUUUGUUUAGAUUUUUUAAAGUAACUUAUGAUGUGUUUUGUAAACAUUGUGUAACUUAGGACCAGACGAAGCCAGACAAGCCAAUGCUGCUCUCCAAUUAUCAAUGGUCUUCGAAAACCUACAGAAGAAAAGAAAAAUUUAUCACAGAUAAGGAAAAAUGCAGAAUGACAGGAAUAAAGCUAAAAAGGUGAUACAGGUGAUUAUUAAUUUAAUUAGAUGCCCAGUCCCUAGAGUUGGGAUUGAAUGAGCCAGGAACAUGCUGUUGUUGUCAGAUAGGGUAGUGUGGAAAGGAUUUUUCAUCUUCGCCAUCAUUUGUGAUUGACUUUACAUUUGCUGUUGCCUUGUAGUAUGUAGCCUAGUAGUGUCCAAGUGAAUAGAAACACAUUCUGAAUAACUGGCAGGUUUACCUUACCAACUGGGUGGUUUUCCCUUUCAGCUGUCCACUGUCCAGCAUUGUUGCCCAGCUGCUGAAACGUCUGGAAUACAUGAACGGAUAUCUGUCAUUCUGUCUUGAGUGCCUUCUCCUCACGUGUAGAAGUUGAAGUGGCGUUCAAUAUCACCUUGGGGAUUUCGUCUUUUGUGAUGUGUGAUGCUGCGUGGUGGCUUUAUGAUGAAUUUAGCAUGGAGAAUAUUACGAGAAUUUGUGUAAGGGGCAUGCAGCCUAGUGUCAAGUAUUGUGUUAUAAAUCCUAGCACAGACUGAUCCUAGUAUCCUACUGUCAUCCAAAUGACAGAGGUAACAACCAACACUAGCUUUAGUACAGUAUUGCUGAGACAAAAAUAUUGUUCUCAUCUUUUAUUUGGAUUCAUCAUAAUUAUCGACUGAUUUUAUUG